UCGGCAGGGUUGCCUUAAGCUGCAUGUGUAGGGAAACCAAGAAAAGUAUUAGAAGAAGGCAUAUUCAUAAAAUUUCAUAAAAUUUCAAGUUGAAGAAGUAAGAGGUACCUAUCAGAAGGAGUUGGUUCUUUUGAUAAAUCAUUUCCUUCCAACUUUCAAGCUUACUCGGCUUAGAAUAAGACUUGAUGGAGAGAUGCUUGAAAAUGCAGUCAUGUGCUUUGAGUAAGUCUC
rnacentral:lncRNA from 1 species